GUACCGUGAGGGAAAGGCGAAAAGAACCCCGGCGAGGGGAGUGAAAAAGAACCUGAAACCGUGUACGUACAAGCAGUGGGAGCCUCUUUAUGGGGUGACUGCGUACCUUUUGUAUAAUGGGUCAGCGACUUAUAUUCUGUAGCAAGGUUAACCGAAUAGGGGAGCCGAAGGGAAACCGAGUCUUAACUGGGCGUUAAGUUGCAGGGUAUAGACCCGAAACCCGGUGAUCUAGCCAUGGGCAGGUUGAAGGUUGGGUAACACUAACUGGAGGACCGAACCGACUAAUGUUGAAAAAUUAGCGGAUGACUUGUGGCUGGGGGUGAAAGGCCAAUCAAACCGGGAGAUAGCUGGUUCUCCCCGAAAGCUAUUUAGGUAGCGCCUCGUGAAUUCAUCUCCGGGGGUAGAGCACUGUUUCGGCAAGGGGGUCAUCCCGACUUACCAACCCGAUGCAAACUGCGAAUACCGGAGAAUGUUAUCACGGGAGACACACGGCGGGUGCUAACGUCCGUCGUGAAGAGGGAAACAACCCAGACCGCCAGCUAAGGUCCCAAAGUCAUGGUUAAGUGGGAAACGAUGUGGGAAGGCCCAGACAGCCAGGAUGUUGGCUUAGAAGCAGCCAUCAUUUAAAGAAAGCGUAAUAGCUCACUGGUCGAGUCGGCCUGCGCGGAAGAUGUAACGGGGCUAAACCAUGCACCGAAGCUGCGGCAGCGACACUAUGUGUUGUUGGGUAGGGGAGCGUUCUGUAAGCCUGUGAAGGUGGCCUGUGAGGGUUGCUGGAGGUAUCAGAAGUGCGAAUGCUGACAUAAGUAACGAUAAAGCGGGUGAAAAGCCCGCUCGCCGGAAGACCAAGGGUUCCUGUCCAACGUUAAUCGGGGCAGGGUGAGUCGACCCCUAAGGCGAGGCCGAAAGGCGUAGUCGAUGGGAAACAGGUUAAUAUUCCUGUACUUGGUGUUACUGCGAAGGGGGGACGGAGAAGGCUAUGUUGGCCGGGCGACGGUUGUCCCGGUUUAAGCGUGUAGGCUGGUUUUCCAGGCAAAUCCGGAAAACCAAGGCUGAGGCGUGAUGACGAGGCACUACGGUGCUGAAGCGACAAAUGCCCUGCUUCCAGGAAAAGCCUCUAAGCAUCAGGUAACAUCAAAUCGUACCCCAAACCGACACAGGUGGUCAGGUAGAGAAUACCAAGGCGCUUGAGAGAACUCGGGUGAAGGAACUAGGCAAAAUGGUGCCGUAACUUCGGGAGAAGGCACGCUGAUAUGUAGGUGAAGCGACUUGCUCGUGGAGCUGAAAUCAGUCGAAGAUACCAGCUGGCUGCAACUGUUUAUUAAAAACACAGCACUGUGCAAACACGAAAGUGGACGUAUACGGUGUGACGCCUGCCCGGUGCCGGAAGGUUAAUUGAUGGGGUUAGCGGUAACGCGAAGCUCUUGAUCGAAGCCCCGGUAAACGGCGGCCGUAACUAUAACGGUCCUAAGGUAGCGAAAUUCCUUGUCGGGUAAGUUCCGACCUGCACGAAUGGCGUAAUGAUGGCCAGGCUGUCUCCACCCGAGACUCAGUGAAAUUGAACUCGCUGUGAAGAUGCAGUGUACCCGCGGCAAGACGGAAAGACCCCGUGAACCUUUACUAUAGCUUGACACUGAACAUUGAGCCUUGAUGUGUAGGAUAGGUGGGAGGCUUUGAAGUGUGGACGCCAGUCUGCAUGGAGCCGACCUUGAAAUACCACCCUUUAAUGUUUGAUGUUCUAACGUUGGCCCGUAAUCCGGGUUGCGGACAGUGUCUGGUGGGUAGUUUGACUGGGGCGGUCUCCUCCUAAAGAGUAACGGAGGAGCACGAAGGUUGGCUAAUCCUGGUCGGACAUCAGGAGGUUAGUGCAAUGGCAUAAGCCAGCUUGACUGCGAGCGUGACGGCGCGAGCAGGUGCGAAAGCAGGUCAUAGUGAUCCGGUGGUUCUGAAUGGAAGGGCCAUCGCUCAACGGAUAAAAGGUACUCCGGGGAUAACAGGCUGAUACCGCCCAAGAGUUCAUAUCGACGGCGGUGUUUGGCACCUCGAUGUCGGCUCAUCACAUCCUGGGGCUGAAGUAGGUCCCAAGGGUAUGGCUGUUCGCCAUUUAAAGUGGUACGCGAGCUGGGUUUAGAACGUCGUGAGACAGUUCGGUCCCUAUCUGCCGUGGGCGCUGGAGAACUGAGGGGGGCUGCUCCUAGUACGAGAGGACCGGAGUGGACGCAUCACUGGUGUUCGGGUUGUCAUGCCAAUGGCACUGCCCGGUAGCUAAAUGCGGAAGAGAUAAGUGCUGAAAGCAUCUAAGCACGAAACUUGCCCCGAG
rnacentral:rRNA from 1 species